ACACACUUUAGUGUUUACAAUUCAUUCCCUUUUGUCAUAGAUUUGGUGGGCACUGUCAUCUGUGAUAUGACUGUCUUUAAGCAGGUACUGAUGAAACUGUCACUUAAUAUUUUUUUUCUUGAAGUCUACAAACGCUCUACAUUUAUUCACUUUGUGAGGGUUGGAUCCUAUAUGCUACUUGUAUUAUUGUCCUGUAAAUGGUUCAGUGCCUAUAAUUUAGUCUGUGUAGAAUGGGGCAUAAAGGAAAUGACCUCUACUAAUAAAUGACUACUAGAUUACAGUGAAAACAGCAUACACAUUUGGGUUGUGUAUUCAUUUGCCUAUAACUAAUCAGACUUCCAUUAUGUUUACAUAAAAAAGAGAAUACUUCAAAAUGAGAAGAUCCUGCCAUGGAAAAGAUGACUGGGUGGACAUAAAGUGGAAAGGAGGGGAAAUAACUCCCACCAUGCAGCAGGACACCUUCAGCUGUGGGGUCUUUGUAAUAUGGCCAAGGAAGUUGCACAGAACUUCCCCAACAUCCCAAAUUGAUAUGGAACCUUCAAAAAACACAUGGAGCAACUGCAGAAAUAAAUGGCUGAGGAUAUACUAAAAAUGUCUGAGUUCAACAAAGCCUGCUUCAUGUGUGCCACUGAUGAAGAACCUGGAUGUGGCCCAGACUGACAGGAUUGAAUGUUUUGCCUGCCAACGGGGGUUCCAUGUGCUGUGCCUCGGAAUGAAGACCAAAGAGUUCACCAGAGUAAAGAACACAAACUGGAAGUGCAGUCUUUGUUGUUGAAAAUGUCUGCUCUACCCCAUCCACACUGAAGAGGCUCUGACAUGUACAUCAACCAGGGAUAAAGAGGAAGUUAACACUGACAUGUACAUCAACCAGGGAUAAAGAGGAAGUUAACACUGACAUGUACAUCAACCAGGGAUAAAGAGGAAGUUAACACUGACAUGUACAUCAACCAGGGAUAAAGAGGAAGUUAACACUGACAUGUACAUCAACCAGGGAUAAAGAGGAAGUUAACACUGACAUGUACAUCAACCAGGGAUAAAGAGGAAGUUAACACUGACAUGUACAUCAACCAGGGAUAAAGAGGAAGUUAACACUGACAUGUACAUCAACCAGGGAUAAAGAGAAAGUUAACACUGACAUGUACAUCAACCAGGGAUAAAGAGGAAGUUAACACUGACAUGUACAUCA